UACGGGGGGGGCAAGCGUUGUUCGGAAUUACUGGGCGUAAAGGGCUCGUAGGCGGCCAACUAAGUCGGAUGUGAAAUCCCCAGGCUCAACCUGGGAACUGCAUCCGAUACUGGAUGGCUUGAAUUCGGGAGAGGGAUGCAGAAUUCCAGGUGUAGCGGUGAAAUGCGUAGAUAUCUGGAGGAAUACCGGUGGUGUAGACGGCUUACUGGACCACGACUGACACUGAGGCACGAAAGCGUGGGUAGCAAACAGG
rnacentral:rRNA from 1 species